AACGUAGGACGCAAGCGUUAUCCGGAGUUACUGGGCGUAAAGCGUGCGCAGGCGGCUUUGCAAGACAGAUGUGAAAUCCCCGGGCUCAACCUGGGAACUGCAUUUGUGACUGCAUGGCUGGAGUGCGGCAGAGGGGGAUGGAAUUCCGCGUGUAGCAGUGAAAUGCGUAGAUAUGCGGAGGAACACCGAUGGCGAAGGCAAUCCCCUGGGCCUGCACUGACGCUCAUGCACGAAAGCGUGGGGAGCAAACAGG
rnacentral:rRNA from 1 species